AUGCCUUCUGCCCCACCCCAAAUCUUUCUUUGUUCUUCUUCUACUAGGCUGUUAUUUUCUUACACCCAUGGGUAUGGAAUUUUUCUCCAAGAGUAUGUCUGUCAAAAUGGCAAUAAAAGCUUUAUGAUAGAGAGAGGAAAUUCCAAAAGGCAUCUGAAAACUGAUUAUUUAUGGUUUACAAGUAAGUGUUCACCACAUUUAAUGCUCACAGGGGAACUUGGUUUCUCUUUUUUCCAAUUUGGUACACCUCAUUGUUUCCCCAUGACUAAUAUAAUGAUGCACCUAAAUGAGAAAAUAGAAGAAUAUUGCCAAAAAGUUAAAUUAGUUUAUCUAUUAUUCUGCUAGGAAAACUGCUAUCAAUUUACUCAUGGACUUUCUUAUAUAAUAAACCAUGUCAGAACAAGAAUUGACUAGAUUUUGGUUUGAGAGAUAUGGGAGUAUGCUUAUUUAAUUCAGACUCAAAUCAUUUUACUCUUUCUCUUUUAAUUUCAAUUUUAUUUUUGAGGCCAAAUAAUGAAAAUAUUUCCCAUGGGAAAUAGCGUGUUAAAUAAUUACAAGCUAUAACUCUCAAUUUAUCACAAGACUGUCAUUUAAUCUAAUGAGCUUAUUUUAGGCAGCCUUUGCGUAACACAAAAACAAAAUGUUUAUUAAAACAAUCUUUCAUCUUUUCUUAAAUUUUGAUAAUUAAUGAGUGCCUAUUACUUGAAUGUUUAUUUCCUGAAUUUGAGGUCUGAGGAGAGAAAGAAUAAGGAAGAUAAUUAAGAAAACUCCCUUGAUAAAGAAAUUUAUCUUUUGCUUAUAAAGAAAUGAGACGUAAGGACAUGCUAAGGGUUUGCUCAAUAUAGGUCUUAAUUGGUACAAAGGUGAUGAGGGAAUAUUCCUGCCCUAGGGAAUGUUGCUGCAGUAGGGCACUUUACAGGAGAUUUAAGAGAGCCAGGUAUGGAGGAAGAGCUGCACUUACAUCUUGUCCCAAAGGCAUAGUUCUUAGUAACAGCAACAUUCUGGGGAUGGGAUCUCUCUGUAUAAAAUUAAUUGGGUGAAUUUAAGAUGUGAGUAACAGAGGGCACAGAUGUGAAAGGGCCAUGUGUACUAUAUCACAGUGAAAUCUAUGUUCUCAGCUAUUGGGUAAGAGGGACGCUGUACAUUUCUGAGACACCUCACCUGGUGAUGUGACACAGACCUGUAUCACUGAGGAUUGUGUGCUCCUGAUCACUAUUAGUUUAGGUAAUGUCCUGCUCAAUCUUAUACAUGUAUCAUCAAAAUUGAGCAGGACAUUGUCAACUAAAGCCCCAGUGGAUUGCCUGGGAGCCACAUGUGCUAUUUCCUGCACCACUGUUUAAAAACAACUGUCUUCUUUCUGAUGACCAAAUUCAGUUACCCCUGACAGAAUGGUGAUUCUACCUUGAUUAUUUGCUUUUGUCAUAAAAAGUUCAAAAUGAGUGCCAGGUAAUGACAGCUUUAAUUUUGAUGGGAUUCUUACUACAUCAUUUUAUGAAAGUCGUCUUUCUUUGGACUUCAGGGCCUCUAAACCAAGAGAGCCUAAAUUUGUAGGGACAAAAAUGAUAAAUUAUUCAAGUGGCUUACUGGGAGUAAUGGUAAAUGGUACCAAUCAUGCUUCAACGCCUUGACAUCUAGAAAUAUGCAUGCUACUUAUGGGAAAACAUCACCAUAGAGUGCUCAUUGAUGAAGGGUAUAUAUUACAUCCUAGAAGACUAUUUCCAUCCUGCAAGAACAGCCUUCGUAAGCAGCACCUUCAAAAAGCCAUUUCAGUUUUCUGUGGGCUGAGAGUUGAUACCCUGGACAUAUGCCAAGUGUUGUAUUUCCUUUCUUGUAAAAUGGUUACCUAUUUGUAGCAUUGUUUUGUAGGAUCCCAAUGUUUCAGUGGAUGACACUUUCAAAAAACUUGAGAUAGUGGUGCUAGCCACGGCCCUAAGAGAAAGUUAAGCGAAAACAUUCCUAGAUUAUAUACUGAUUUUAGUUAUGAUAAAUACCUAUACCUUCCAGAGUAGAAGAGGUUCAAUAUAUUAAACUUGCCCUGAUAUGGCUGAUUGGAUUUCUCAAGCUGUAAUGCCAUGUUGAGGACUAAGCAUUGGUCUCUGUUGCUAGGAGACAUUGGCGGUGGAAGACAAGAUAUCAGCCUAGGUCCUAGGUCAGUAAAAAUCCAUGUUUUUGAGCUCGUGCAUAAUUUUCACCUUUACCUUCAUGGUUACUCCAUCCAUGGGCCCAUCAUGCCAGCACAGGGGUAGCCAAUGACAGAGGCUGGCUGAUAUCAGCUGAUGAAAAUCCUUUUUUUUUUUUUUAGAUAGAGUCUUGCUGUUGCCCAGGCUGGAGUGCAGUGGCAUGAUCUUGACUCACUGCAACUUCCACUGCCUGAGUUCAAGCAAUUCUCAUGCCUCAGCUUUCCGAGUAGCUGGGACUGUUGUAGUCAUGUGCCACCAUGACUGGCUAAUCUUUUUGUAUUUUUGACAGAGGCAGGGUAUUUCCAUGUUGACCAGAUUGAACUCGAACUCCUGGCCUCAAGUGAUUUGCCUCCCUUGGCUUCCCAAAAUGCUGGGAUUACAGAUGUGAGCCACAAUGGCUGGUCUGUUGGGCUGUUUCAUGCUUCCUCCAUAGUGGAUCCUACCUGGCGGGCAUAACUGUGGUAUAAAUAUCUUUGGUUCCUAUCAUAAUCCCUAAAGAUAUAAUCCCCAGUGCCAUAAUCCCAAAUGUUAAAAAGUCUCAAAAGAUCAAAAUCCCUUAAAAUCUAAAAUCCUUAAAUCCUAAAAUCAGUUUUAAAAUGUGUCAUUUUGUCUGCAUUGGCAGUCCUUCCAGCUGCUAAAAUUCCAGAAGCUUUUAAUGAAUUGAAGCUACAUUUGUCUGAAGAAACCAGUGAAGUUACUGACUGAUUCAAAUGUAAUCACGUGCACAGUAGGUUAAGAAGACAUGCAAAUAUUGCUGUUAGCGCAACAGUAUUAUUUACUCCAAAUUUGUGGUCUGUGUAAAAGUG
rnacentral:lncRNA from 1 species